GGGGCCAUAAGAUCAGGGUAACAAGAACAGAGUAACCUUUGCUCAAAAACAAAGACAUCUGUGAUCAGUGCCAAAUGAGGAAAAAUUGCAUAACUGUCACAGCCAAUUAUUAACUUCAGCACUCCUGUAUCUGUUUGCUGGUGUUUGACCUCUGCCUUUGGAUCUCCAAUUCCAUCGACCAGUUCCCUUCAUUACAGUAAAAGGAGUUCAGGAGCAACAACGAGAGAAGAUAAGAAAAGUCUGUUGCCCACAGCCAGACGACAACGACUCUUCAAACUAAGAAGAGAACGGUGCCUUUUGUAUAUUGCAAACCAUCUGUGUCCAUGUGUUC